GGCAGGUGGAACCUAAUCACCGUUGUGUCCGGCGUCCAGUCCAGGAGGCGGCGGAGACAGGAGCCAUCCAGGGUCCACUUGGCUCCCAGAGAGCCAGGGCAGCCCGCGUCCGGCCAGGUUCUGUGAGCAUAAUGCCAUUAGUAUAUUGGGAUGACAUGAUGUUCAUGGGAUGUCAAGAGAUUUGAAGUUCCUUGACUUGAUACUAUGUAAACAACAAGGAGCUGACCCUGCCCUGAGGUAUCAAUGUACAUCCAUUCUGAUUUUGCUUAUCAAUGGCAAUGAAAAAAGUCAUUUCCUAGAUCCAUCUUUCUAAACAAGGUGCCACUGAUUGCGUUCAUUUACUCAAGAAGAGAGAGGAUGAACAUCUAGAAUCACAAUUGAUUUUUGAAGUCACCAUCUGAUUAACUUUGUGAUGAUCUAUUGUCAUUUUCCAUGACUCAUCUGGAUUUUGUAGUGCCCAAACAGAGGUCCUAAGGAAGAACAGUUAUUGUCUUGUGACACAGCUAUUCCACUUUGGGUCAAUGAAAGGCUUGAAUGCAGAGAAGGAAUGACUGCUUUUGUGAUGGAGGACACAUUGCCUCCUCAGUCAUAUUCAGAGGGAUAUGGAGGUUUGAAACUCAGCAUCAUGUAUAUUUGCCAAAAAUUUCUCCAUCCCAGGAAUCAGAGGUUUGUUCUUUCUUAUCAGUGCCCUCACCACGGCAUAGUAUGGUGGGGGGGUGGACAAUUAAUUGCCACUGAACUCUGUAACUCUAAUCCUUAGCCCCUAAGUCAUAGCUGCCUAUGACUACAGGAUAUGAAUUCCUUUAAGGCUCAAAGGAUGAUUUCUGGCUUUCCGUGUAUGUUAAUUGAUU